GACGUAGGGGGCAAGCGUUGUUCGGAAUCAUUGGGCGUAAAGCGCUCGUAGGCGGUCGAUCAAGUCGGAUGUGAAAAUCCAGGGCUCAACCCUGGACCUGCAUUCGAAACUGGUCGACUUGAGUCCAGAAGAGGCAAGUGGAAUUCCCGGUGUAGCGGUGAAAUGCGCAGAUAUCGGGAAGAACACCAGUGGCGAAGGCGGCUUGCUGGGAUGUGACUGACGCUGAGGAGCGAAAGCUAGGGGAGCAAACAGG
rnacentral:rRNA from 1 species